CGUGUAGGUGGAUUUCUAAGUCGGGGGUGAAAUCCCGCGGCUCAACCGCGGAAUUGCUUCCGAUACUGGGAAUCUUGAAUACGGCAGAGGGAGAUGGAAUUCAUGGUGUAGCGGUGAAAUGUGUAGAUAUCAUGAAGAACACCGGUAGCGAAGGCGGUCUCCUGGUCCGUUAUUGACACUGAGGCGCGAAAGCGUGGGGAGCAAACAGGAUUAGAUACCCUGGUAGUCCACGCCUUAAACGAUGGGUACUCGGUGCUGGGCCGAAAGGUUCAGUGCCAAAGCUAACGCAUUAAGUACCCCACCUGGGGAGUACGAUCGCAAGGUUGAA
rnacentral:rRNA from 1 species